rnacentral:rRNA from 1 species
GUAACAUGGCUGCUGUUGGAGAACCAGCAGCAGGAUCAGUAUGUUGUUGUGUUUUGAUGGAUGUUUGUUUGUUUGUGGUUUCUCUGUUCACGGGAUUGAUUGGCAUU